CCUACGUGAGGCAGCAGUGGGGAAUAUUGCGCAAUGGGCGAAAGCCUGACGCAGCGACGCCGCGUGAGGGAUGAAGGUCUUCGGAUCGUAAACCUCUGUCAGCAGGGAAGAACGGUCACUGUGCUAAUCAGCAGUGAAUUGACGGUACCUGCAAAGGAAGCACCGGCUAACUCCGUGCCAGCAGCCGCGGUAAUACGGAGGGUGCGAGCGUUAAUCGGAAUUACUGGGCGUAAAGCGCUCGUAGGCGGUAUGUCAAGUCAAGGGUGAAAUCCCCGCGCGCAACGUGGGAACUGCCUUUGAAACUGGCAAACUGGAGUGUGUGAGAGGAUAGUGGAAGUCCAGGGGUAGGAGUGAAAUCCGUAGAUAUCUGGAGGAACAUCAGUGGCGAAGGCGACUAUCUGGCACAUAACUGACGCUGAGGAGCGAAAGCGUGGGUAGCAAACAGGAUUAGAUACCCCAGUAGUC
rnacentral:rRNA from 1 species